AGCGGCGAAAGGGGCAGUAAUACAUGACUAACCUACCCUGGGGAUGGGGAUAGCUGUCCUAACGGACAGGUAAUACCCAGCGAGACGGCGAACCGGCAUCGGUUUGCCGUGAAAUGAAUUUCGCCUCGGGAGGGGGUCAUGUCGUAUUAGCUAGUUGGUGAGGUAACGGCUCACCAAGGCAAAGAUGCGUAGCGGGUGUGAGAGCACGACCCGCGCCACUGGCACUGUGACACUGGCCUGACACCUACGGGUGGCUGCAGUCGAGGAUCUUCGUCAAUGGGCGAAAGCCUGAACGAGCGAUGCCGCGUGCGCGAUGAAGGCCUUCGGGUUGCAAAGCGCGAAGGUGGGGAUAAAGGGAAACUUGAUAGAACCACAGUAAGCUCGGGCUAAGUUCGUGCCAGCAGCCGCGGUAAGACGAACCGAGCGAACGUUGUUCGGAAUAACUGGGCUUAAAGGGCGCGUAGGCGGGCGACCAAGUCGGUGGUGAAAUACUCCAGCUCAACUGGAGAACUGCCUCCGAUACUGGUUGUCUCGAGGAAGAUAGGGGCGGACGGAACUGAAGGUGGAGCGGUGAAAUGCGUUGAGAUCUUCAGGAACUCCAAUGGCGAAGGCAGUCCGCUGGAUCUUAUCUGACGCUGAGGCGCGAAAGCUAGGGGAGCAAACGGGAUUAGAUACCCCGGUAGUCCUAGCCCUAAACGUUGGGUACUAGAUAGUA
rnacentral:rRNA from 1 species